AAUAGUCUUUGAGGCAAGGUGCGAAAGUUCGCUUUCAAUUCCUGACCGGCGGUAAUAGUCCGCAACCCUUUUUUUAGAGGUUGAGCCGAUGUAAUUUCGGUACCGACAGUAUAGUCUGGAUGGAAAAAGACCCGU
rnacentral:ncRNA from 2 species